rnacentral:rRNA from 1 species
UACGUAGGGUGCAAGCGUUGUCCGGAAUUAUUGGGCGUAAAGAGCUCGUAGGCGGUCUGUUGCGUCCGCUGUGAAAACUCGGGGCUUAACCCCGAGCCUGCAGUGGAUACGGGCAGACUAGAGGUAGGUAGGGGAGAAUGGAAUUCCCGGUGUAGCGGUGAAAUGCGCAGAUAUCAGGAGGAACACCAAUGGCGAAGGCAGCACUCUGGGACGUGACUGACGCUGAGACGCGAAAGCGUGGGGAGCAAACAGG